rnacentral:rRNA from 1 species
UACGUAGGGGGCAAGCGUUGUCCGGAUUUAUUGGGCGUAAAGAGCGUGUAGGCGGCCAGAUAGGUCUGUUGUGAAAACUCGAGGCUCAACCUCGAGACGCCGAUGGAAACCAUCUGGCUAGAGUCCGGAAGAGGAGAGUGGAAUUCCUGGUGUAGCGGUGAAAUGCGCAGAUAUCAGGAGGAACACCAGUGGCGAAGGCGGUGCUCUGGGCUGGAACUGACACUGAGGAGCGAAAGCGUGGGUAGCAAACAGG